CAGAUGAACCUAGACAAUUUUGUUUUUUAAAGUACAAAAAAAUCUUGCUUCUUUGAUCAAUUUUUUGAAUCUGUUUUCCCUCCAUUCAUAUCCUUGCAAACUGGGCCAAUAAAGAGGUCACAAAACGGUUCAGCCCAACACAGCCCAGUCCAUUUCUUGUAUCUGCCUAAGGCCAAACAAAAAACUCCUUGCUUUAGAGUUCAGAAGCAUGCUUGACCAGUCACUUUCAUCCAUCUCUCUCAAAGACAAAACUUGCUGCUACCUCUGACCUCUCAAAGACAAAACUUUCAUGUGUUGGAAUCAAAUUUAAAAUUCAAUUUCUCCCUCUCUUUCAAUAUCUAAACUCACUUUCUUACUCAUCUCUCUCCAUGAAUCAACCAUCUUGGAUGGCAUAAGCCACAAACUCAGGUUUUCUUUUCAAUCUUCUCAAUCAAAUCCUCCGAUCUCAUCAGCCUCUUCGCUCUCAAGCAUCCUUUCGGCUUUUAUGUCAUGAUUAGCACCAGUAUUGGAGCAAUAUCUGGACUUGUUCAGCUCAUACUAUAUGCUUAUUAUUCGUACAUGGGAGAAAAUAAUGUUGAUGAUUAUGCUCAUCAUAUUCUAAAUCCAGCUGU